rnacentral:rRNA from 1 species
UACGUAGGGGGCAAGCGUUGUCCGGAUUUAUUGGGCGUAAAGAGCGUGUAGGCGGCCGUACAGGUCAGCUGUGAAAACUCGAGGCUCAACCUCGAGACGUCGGUUGAAACCGUACGGCUAGAGUCCGGAAGAGGAGAGUGGAAUUCCCGGUGUAGCGGUGAAAUGCGCAGAUAUCAGGAGGAACACCAAUGGCGAAGGCAGCUCGCUGGGACGGUACUGACGCUGAGACGCGAAAGCGUGGGGAGCGAACAGG